rnacentral:lncRNA from 1 species
CGGUUGUGAGCCUCUGCGCUGCAAGCAGAUGAGGCUGGUGGAGCAAGAGCACGAGGAACGAAGCAAGGUGGAGAACAAAAGAUAGUGAUGCGCUUAAUGGCUUCAUUUGUGAUUAGCUUCUUGCUGAUCUGGCUUUAUUUCUGAUUAGCUUCUUGCAUGAUCAGCAUGCCAUUGUGGUGUAUAUAAACAUGAUAUGAUCCAGGCAUCCAGCAAGUCUUGGGCGCCUCGUAUGGCAUGCUUUCCUUGGGUGGUUGGCGAAUGUCAAAUUGUCAAAAGGCCAGGAGGAAUUCCGCUGGACCUUCCAUCAAAAUGGUAAGUUCUCAGUCAACUCAGUGUAUCUGACAGCUGCCGUGAAGUUUAGGGCACCGAUUAGCUUAAUACAAGGCAUCGACCGACCGCGCAAUUUGCUGACCAAAAGGAAGCUGAACAUUUCUUUCUAAUUUGCUGACUGAAAGGAAGCUGAACAUUUCUUCCCACGUUUUAGUUUGCCCAGUACGUAAGCUUGCAGGUGGAUCACUUUAUUGCUGUAGAAGGUAAUAUCAGGUAUCAACAGCUCAUUUCCCAUGUUAAAUUUACCUCACUCUCGUUACAGCUUUGGAUGACUCUGUGUGUACGGACUACGGAGUAGUGUCUUCUAACGUCUGAUGUAAAGAAAGUGUAUCAACUGAUCGUGGAGGGACUAGCAAAUUUGGCAAUGUUUCCCAGCAGCGUUCUGUCAAUGGUCUUUGUGUGCAGUGCAGAUUGUUGAGGAAGUCGAGCAAUAUUUAUUUCUUAGCGAGUAGCUAGCCCUCUUUUGCUCUUGUUUCCUGGUGUUUUGGUGUCCUCGCUCUGGUCGUUGGCUCCCUGAUGAGGAUGCAAUUUGUGUACUCUUGAAGAAGAAAGGUGUAUGAACUAUGAACCCUUGUAU